rnacentral:rRNA from 1 species
GACGAACGCUGGCGGCGUGCUUAACACAUGCAAGUCGAACGGGCCUGUCUUCUUUUUUGGGGGUGGGUUGAGUGGCGAACGGGUGAGUAUCACGUGAGUAACCUGCCCUUCGGUCCUGGAUAACCGCUUGAAAGGGCGGCUAAUACGGGGUGGUCCGGUUGGUCCGCAUGGGCUGGUCGGGAUAGAUUCACUGUUUUUGGUGUUUCGGCGGGGGAUGGGCUCGCGGCCUAUCAGCUUGUUGGUGGGGUGAUGGCCUACCAAGGCGGUGACGGGUAGCCGGCCUGAGAGGGGGGGCGGCCACACUGGGACGGAGAUACGGCCCAGACUCCUGCGGGAGGCAGCAGUGGGGGGUAUUGCACAAUGGGCGGAAGCCUGAUGCAGCGACGUCGCGUGAGGGAGGGAGGCCUUCGGGUUGUGAACCUCUGUUUCCGGUGGUGAAGGCCCUGUCCGUGUGGUGGGGUUGACGGUAGCCGGGGAUGAAGCGCCGGCUAACUACGUG